GAUGAACGCUAGCUACAGGCUUAACACAUGCAAGUCGAGGGACCGGCGCACGGGUGAGUAACACGUAUCCAACCUGCCCUUUACUCGGGGAUAGCCUUUCGAAAGAAAGAUUAAUACCCGAUAUAAAGGAUGGGGAUGCGUUCCAUUAGGUUGUUGGUGAGGUAACGGCUCACCAAGCCUUCGAUGGCUAGGGGUUCUGAGUGGAAGGUCCCCCAGAUUGGAAAUAAGGCACGGUCUAAACUGCGACGGGAGGCAGGAGAAAAGAGUAUUAGUGAAUGGGCGCUAGCCUGAACCAGCCACGUAUCGUGAGAAAGGAAGCCGUAUGUGUCGUAAACUUGUUUUAUAUAAGAAUAUGUAUUAGAAGAAUAAGGAUCGGCUAACUCCGUGCCAGCAGCCGCGGUAAUAC
rnacentral:rRNA from 1 species